UACGUAGGGUGCGAGCGUUGUCCGGAAUUAUUGGGCGUAAAGCGCGUGUAGGCGGCUUUGCAAGUCGGGUGUGAAAGCCCUCAGCUUAACUGAGGAAGUGCGCCCGAAACUGCCGAGCUUGAAUACCGGAGAGGAUGGCGGAAUUCCCCAAGUAGAGGUGAAAUUCGUAGAUAUGGGGAGGAACACCGGUGGCGAAGGCGGCCAUCUGGACGGCUAUUGACGCUGAGACGCGAAAGCGUGGGGAGCAAACAGG
rnacentral:rRNA from 1 species